rnacentral:lncRNA from 1 species
GUGCGAGGAAAUAAAUAAAGUAAAGCGAGUGCGAGGAAAUAAAUAAAAGAAAAGCGAGUGCGAGGAAAUAAAUAAAGUAAAGCGAUUGCGAGGAAAUAAAUAAAGCAAAGCAAGUGCGAGGAAAUAAAUAAAGUAAAACGAGUGCGGGAAAUUAAAUAAGAUAAAGACAAGUAAUAAAAACCUGCUCCAAUCGGAGGGUUGAAUAAAUUGCAAAGCGAAAAUGAAAAUGGCGGCAGGAUUAACUUCC